rnacentral:rRNA from 1 species
AGCGAACGCUGGCGGCAGGCCUAACACAUGCAAGUCGAGCGCCCCGCAAGGGGAGCGGCAGACGGGAGAGUAACACGUGGGAACGUACCCUUUGGUUCGGAACAACCCAGGGAAACUUGGGCUAAUACCGAAUAAGCCCUUACGGGGAAAGAUUUAUCGCCGAAGGAUCGGCCCGCGUCUGAUUAGCUAGUUGGUGAGGUAACGGCUCACCAAGGCGACGAUCAGUAGCUGGUCUGAGAGGAUGAUCAGCCUCACUGGGACUGAGACACGGCCCAGACUCC